GACGAACGCUGGCGGCGUGCCUGACACAUGCAAGUCGGACGGUUCUUGUAUCUUCAAGCUUGCUUGCAGGUGCAAGGAUAGUGGCGGACGGGUGAGUAACGCGUGAACAUCUACCCAUUGGAGGGGGACAACCCGUCGAAAGGCGGGCUAAUACCGCGUAAGCCGCGAGGUGAGAGGCUGCCUAUUGGUGGCCGCCGAUGGAUGGGUUCGCGUCCUAUCAGCUGGUUGGUGGGGUAACGGCCUACCAAGGCGAAGACGGGUAGCCGGUCUGAGAGGAUGGCCGGCCACACUGGAACUGAGACACGGUCCAGACUCCUACGGGAGGCAGCAGUGGGGAAUAUUCGGCAAUGGGGGAAACCCUGACCGAGCAAUGCCGCGUGAAUGAAGAAGGUCUUCGGACUGUAAAAUUCUGUUAUUUGUGGAAGAAAGGUAGUUGGAGGAAAUGCCAAUUACUUGACGGUACCAAAUGAGAAAGCCCCGGCUAACUAUGUG
rnacentral:rRNA from 1 species